rnacentral:rRNA from 1 species
AUGAACGCUAGCUACAGGCUUAACACAUGCAAGUCGAGGGGCAGCAUGGUCUUAGCUUGCUAAGACUGAUGGCGACCGGCGCACGGGUGAGUAACACGUAUCCAACCUGCCGUCUACUCUUGGACAGCCUUCUGAAAGGAAGAUUAAUACAAGAUGGCAUCAUGAGUCCGCAUGUUCACAUGAUUAAAGGUAUUCCGGUAGACGAUGGGGAUGCGUUCCAUUAGAUAGUAGGCGGGGUAACGGCCCACCUAGUCUUCGAUGGAUAGGGGUUCUGAGAGGAAGGUCCCCCACAUCGGAACUGAGACACGGUCCAAACUCCUACGGGAGGCAGCAGUGAGGAAUAUUGGUCAAUGGGCGAGAGCCUGAACCAGCCAAGUAGCGUGAAGGAUGACUGCCCUAUGGGUUGUAAACUUCUUUUAUAAAGGAAUAAAGUCGGGUAUGGAUACCCGUUUGCAUGUACUUUAUGAAUAAGGAUCGGCUAACUCCGUGCCAGCAGCCGCGGUAAUACGGAGGAUCCGAGCGUUAUCCGGAUUUAUUGGGUUUAAAGGGAGCGUAGAUGGAUGUUUAAGUCGGUUGUGAAAGUUUGCGGCUCAACCGUAAAAUUGCAGUUGAUACUGGAUAUCUUGAGUGCAGUUGAGGCAGGCGGAAUUCGUGGUGUAGCGGUGAAAUGCUUAGAUAUCACGAAGAACUCCGAUUGCGAAGGCAGCCUGCUAAGCUGCAACUGACAUUGAGGCUCGAAAGUGUGGGUAUCAAACAGGAUUAGAUACCCUGGUAGUCCACACGGUAAACGAUGAAUACUCGCUGUUUGCGAUAUACUGCAAGCGGCCAAGCGAAAGCGUUAAGUAUUCCACCUGGGGAGUACGCCGGCAACGGUGAAACUCAAAGGAAUUGACGGGGGCCCGCACAAGCGGAGGAACAUGUGGUUUAAUUCGAUGAUACGCGAGGAACCUUACCCGGGCUUAAAUUGCAGAUGAAUUACGGUGAAAGCCGUAAGCCGCAAGGCAUCUGUGAAGGUGCUGCAUGGUUGUCGUCAGCUCGUGCCGUGAGGUGUCGGCUUAAGUGCCAUAACGAGCGCAACCCUUGUUGUCAGUUACUAACAGGUUCCGCUGAGGACUCUGACAAGACUGCCAUCGUAAGAUGUGAGGAAGGUGGGGAUGACGUCAAAUCAGCACGGCCCUUACGUCCGGGGCUACACACGUGUUACAAUGGGGGGUACAGAGGGCCGCUACCACGCGAGUGGAUGCCAAUCCCCAAAACCUCUCUCAGUUCGGACUGGAGUCUGCAACCCGACUCCACGAAGCUGGAUUCGCUAGUAAUCGCGCAUCAGCCACGGCGCGGUGAAUACGUUCCCGGGCCUUGUACACACCGCCCGUCAAGCCAUGGGAGCCGGGGGUACCUGAAGUGCGUAACCGCGAGGAGCGCCCUAGGGUAAAACUGGUGACUGGGGCU